AGGACGAACGCUGGCGGUGUGCUUAACACAUGCAAGUGGAGCGACGAACCAGGGCUUGCCCUGGGGCAGAGCCGCGAACGGGUGAGUAACACGUGGGUAACCUACCCCGAUGACCGGGACAACCCGAGGAAACUCGGGCUAAUACCGGAUGUGUCCCAUCUUCAUGAGGAGAUGGAGCAAAGGAAGCUUCGGCCUCCGCAUUGGGAGGGGCCCGCGGCCCAUUAGCUAGUUGGUGGGGUAACGGCCUACCAAGGCAGCGAUGGGUAGCUGGUCUGAGAGGACGAUCAGCCACACUGGGACUGAGACACGGCCCAGACUCCUACGGGAGGCAGCAGUGGGGAAUCUUGCACAAUGGGCGAAAGCCUGAUGCAGCAACGCCGCGUGCGGGAAGAAGGCCCUCGGGUUGUAAACCGCUUUCAGAAGGAACGAAACUGACGGUACUUUCAGAAGAAGGUGCGGCCAACUACGUGCCAGCAGCCGC
rnacentral:rRNA from 1 species